rnacentral:ncRNA from 1 species
UUCUUCGGGGCAGGGUGAAAUUCCCUACCGGCGGUAAAGUCCGCGAACCGCGAAAUGCGGCCGAUUCGGUGCAAUUCCGAAACCGACAGUACAGUCUGGAUGAGAGAGGAGG